rnacentral:rRNA from 1 species
UACGUGAGGGGCAAGCGUUGUCCGGAAUUACUGGGCGUAAAGGGCGCGUAGGCGGCCGUCUAAGUCAGACGUGAAAUCCCUCGGCUCAACCGGGGAACUGCGUCUGAUACUGGGUGGCUUGAAUCCGGGAGAGGGAUGCGGAAUUCCAGGUGUAGCGGUGAAAUGGCGUAGAUAUCUGGAGGAACACCGGUGGCGAAGGCGGCAUCCUG